GACGAACCGUGCGAACGUUGUUCGGAUUCACUGGGCUUAAAGGGCGCGUAGGCGGGCGUUUGCGUCUGGGGUGAAAGCCCCCGGCCCAACCGGGGAAUUGCCUCAGAUACCAGACGCCUCGAGGGAGGUAGGGGCGCGCGGAACUUCCGGUGGAGCGGUGAAAUGCGUAGAUAUCGGAAGGAACGCCGGUGGCGAAAGCGGCGCGCUGGAUCUCUGCUGACGCUGAGGCGCGAAAGCCAGGGGAG
rnacentral:rRNA from 1 species